rnacentral:rRNA from 2 species
AGGACGAACGCUGGCGGCGUGCCUAAUACAUGCAAGUCGAACGAACUCUGGUAUUGAUUGGUGCUUGCAUCAUGAUUUACAUUUGAGUGAGUGGCGAACUGGUGAGUAACACGUGGGAAACCUGCCCAGAAGCGGGGGAUAACACCUGGAAACAGAUGCUAAUACCGCAUAACAACUUGGACCGCAUGGUCCGAGCUUGAAAGAUGGCUUCGGCUAUCACUUUUGGAUGGUCCCGCGGCGUAUUAGCUAGAUGGUGGGGUAACGGCUCACCAUGGCAAUGAUACGUAGCCGACCUGAGAGGGUAAUCGGCCACAUUGGGACUGAGACACGGCCCAAACUCCUACGGGAGGCAGCAGUAGGGAAUCUUCCACAAUGGACGAAAGUCUGAUGGAGCAACGCCGCGUGAGUGAAGAAGGGUUUCGGCUCGUAAAACUCUGUUGUUAAAGAAGAACAUAUCUGAGAGUAACUGUUCAGGUAUUGACGGUAUUUAACCAGAAAGCCACGGCUAACUACGUGCCAGCAGCCGCGGUAAUACGUAGGUGGCAAGCGUUGUCCGGAUUUAUUGGGCGUAAAGCGAGCGCAGGCGGUUUUUUAAGUCUGAUGUGAAAGCCUUCGGCUCAACCGAAGAAGUGCAUCGGAAACUGGGAAACUUGAGUGCAGAAGAGGACAGUGGAACUCCAUGUGUAGCGGUGAAAUGCGUAGAUAUAUGGAAGAACACCAGUGGCGAAGGCGGCUGUCUGGUCUGUAACUGACGCUGAGGCUCGAAAGUAUGGGUAGCAAACAGGAUUAGAUACCCUGGUAGUCCAUACCGUAAACGAUGAAUGCUAAGUGUUGGAGGGUUUCCGCCCUUCAGUGCUGCAGCUAACGCAUUAAGCAUUCCGCCUGGGGAGUACGGCCGCAAGGCUGAAACUCAAAGGAAUUGACGGGGGCCCGCACAAGCGGUGGAGCAUGUGGUUUAAUUCGAAGCUACGCGAAGAACCUUACCAGGUCUUGACAUACUAUGCAAAUCUAAGAGAUUAGACGUUCCCUUCGGGGACAUGGAUACAGGUGGUGCAUGGUUGUCGUCAGCUCGUGUCGUGAGAUGUUGGGUUAAGUCCCGCAACGAGCGCAACCCUUAUUAUCAGUUGCCAGCAUUAAGUUGGGCACUCUGGUGAGACUGCCGGUGACAAACCGGAGGAAGGUGGGGAUGACGUCAAAUCAUCAUGCCCCUUAUGACCUGGGCUACACACGUGCUACAAUGGAUGGUACAACGAGUUGCGAACUCGCGAGAGUAAGCUAAUCUCUUAAAGCCAUUCUCAGUUCGGAUUGUAGGCUGCAACUCGCCUACAUGAAGUCGGAAUCGCUAGUAAUCGCGGAUCAGCAUGCCGCGGUGAAUACGUUCCCGGGCCUUGUACACACCGCCCGUCACACCAUGAGAGUUUGUAACACCCAAAGUCGGUGGGGUAACCUUUUAGGAACCAGCCGCCUAAGGUGGGACAGAUGAUUAGGGUGAAGUCGU